rnacentral:rRNA from 1 species
UACGUAGGGGGCUAGCGUUGUCCGGAAUCAUUGGGCGUAAAGAGCGUGUAGGCGGCCAGGUAGGUCCGUUGUGAAAACUCGAGGCUCAACCUCGAGACGUCGAUGGAAACCGUCUGGCUAGAGUCCGGAAGAGGAGAGUGGAAUUCCUGGUGUAGCGGUGAAAUGCGCAGAUAUCAGGAAGAACACCUAUGGCGAAGGCAGCUCUCUGGGACGGUACUGACGCUGAGACGCGAAAGCGUGGGGAGCGAACAGG